rnacentral:tRNA from 1 species
UGGGUGUUACUCGUCUGGUGACGAGGGCAGACUGUGACCCUGCGGAGGCGGGUUCGAUUCCCGUACACCCAA